CACUUCAGUACCUUAUCCCUUCCAUUGUCUCCGCACCGCUCUCAGAAAAAAAGCCACCGCAUCCUCGGUGCUCCCGGCGGGUACGGCGAAGGAGUCCCUGGGCAUGCUGCUGCUGCGCCGACGCCUUCGCCAUCCGCACCGUCGUGGGCAAUGCCAAAUACAACGCCGAUGCCGCAUAUACGCGCGCGCGCCGGUCGCCACCGCGUCCUCGGUGCGCCCGACCACGGAGGAGGGGGAGGAGCAGGCGCAGUGGCGAAGGAGCCGGCAGCGUAGACGGAGGGAGAGGAGUAGCGCGAGGGGCGCGGACGGAGGGGUCGCCGGGGACGUUUGGCGCGCCACCACACAACGGUCCCGGGCCGCCGCCGGGAGGCAGAGAGGCGACAAGUGCAGCGAGGAGGAGGCUAUGAAGGUCUGCAAAUCAUGACACAAUUCAGCAGUUGAGCAACAAUCGAGGGACUGGGUUAUGAUCAUUACCUGUUGGGAGUGGUAGGGGCCAUACGAAGUCCUUCAACCCUGUGAAUGUCAAGAGUGUUAUCAUACAACUAUCUUUGAAGGAAUAGUAUUACCGGAAUACAGACAUAGUAGAAUUUUAUGUUCAACUCCCACCAACUCUUUACCUUCAGAGCUUUCUUGUGGUGCCUCUGCUUACCCAAAUGAAUUCAAUUUGCAUUAAUAUACUUAGUAUAAUGCUACAAGAUGUAGUUAUUUGUAAUACUAUUCAUCUAGGUUUGUUACCCAAAUGGAUUCAAUUUGCAUUAAUAUACUUGCAUAAUGCUACAAAAUAUAGUAGUUUGUAAUACUAUUCAUCUAGGUCUGCUACCCAAAUGAAUUCAAUUUGCAUUAAUAUACUUGGCAUAAUGUAACAGGAUGUAGUAGUUUGUAAUACUAUUCAUCUAGGUCUCUUUUAGAGUGUGGCUUUUUUUUAUGUUCAUAUUACUUUAACUGAGCAAUGGGUGAACCAUAUGCAGCUCGGUGAGGCUUUUAGGUGAGGUCAGUACCAUGUGCAUUUGCCAAUGCUUCAUGGUAUGAUUUCAGGUUUAGGUCAGAAAAGCAACAGGAUCAAUCAAAUGGAUCACACUGGCAACAUGUUGGCAAAUAAGCAUGCACCUGCGGAGCAGUUCAUCGGCGCUGUGACUUCGUCGUAUGCGCAGUGCGGCGAUGGCGCGGGACAGUCUGGGUGGCGGCGGCGUGUAAAAGCCUCACAAAGUUCAGACAGUCUGGGCGGCACCUUUGUUGGCGAAGAGCUCAGACGUGAAUGACGCGGGGCAGGUCAGCUCGUCGCACCCGUCGUCGGGUCCCUCGCCGGCUGGGCAGGGCAGCGAUGGCGCAGGUCAACCUGGACGCCUGGAUGGGAACAAAGUUUAGACAGUCUGGGCGGUACCUGUAUUGACGAAGAGCUCGUCGUUGUGGCCGUCGUCUGGUGCCUUGCCGUCUACGCAGGGCAGCGAUGGCGCAGGUAAACCUGGAUGCCUGGACGGCAAUAGAGUUCAGCUAGUCUCGGCGCGGCACCUGUGUCGGCAAAGAGCUCGUCGUCGCCGCCGUGGUCGGGUGCCUCGUCGGCUGUCCAGGGCAGCGAUGUCGCGGGUUAACCUGGACGCCUGGAUGGCAACGCGGAACGGCGGCGGCGGGGGAAAAUAAAUUGGUUGCCGCUAAUUUAGCAACUUUCUUUCUGUAUUGUUGAACAAUUCAUGCGGAACGAACGUUUGGUUUCCCUUU